AAGCCUGUCUUCGCCAGCCUACCCUCUGACCUCCUGUGAGCCUGGGCCGGCCCUACUGACACACACAGACUUUGGGGAAGACUGCCAGGCCUAGGCAAUCUCCCCCCACGCAGAGUGAGACGGGGGACAAGAGACUGAAGCCCAUUUGGUGAACGAUGGAGGGUUGCUGGCUGAGGGGAUCUCCCCCCUCCAGUGAGUGGAGACCUGAGGCAGGUCUGGCUGAGGAAGUCUCUCCACAAGUGACUGAAGUUUAGCACAGGCCCGCCUCGGGGGAACGAGAGUGGGGCACUAGGGUCAGCUCUGCCUGCGAGGCUCCCCUUUAGCGAAUGACACUUGUGGGGGCAGGUCUGGGGCAGCCCUGGUCUGGACUGGCCACGGGCAGAGCGAGAGGUAAGUGUGUGUGAGGCAGGCGCAAGCUCUGCUGUUUAUGCUGAGCUCCUGCCCUUCCCUCACAUCCCCUCCCUGUGUGUGCUGCCCACACACCGCCCCGCAUUCCCCGCCUGGCUUCAGCCCCUCCGGCGAUGGCUGAGUGAGGGAGGGGAGGCGGCGGCUGGGGUUUCAUUCGACGCCCACCAGGGGCUGAGCGAGCCUCCUUCAGUGCGCAAACUCGGGGCACCACAUAAAAGCUGGGCUGGCAGCUCUUUAUCUUGCCUCGAUGGAGCCGCCACAAGCGGGUGGCCGGAGAAGCCGCUAGCAGCGGCGCGGUAGCCUAGCCUAGCCUAGCCUAGCCUAGCCUUCCUCCUACUUUGGGCACAGAGGGGCUGUAAAGAACCGCUGCUGCGGCAGGAAGGAGCCGAGAGGAAGGGAUCUGGAUGCAGAGGAGGCGGCUGUAACGAGGCAUCGAGUAUGGGGGGAGGGAGUGAUUAAACGUCUUGUGGCCCUGGCGGAGUCUGAGGGUAUUUUUUCCUGUCUAACUCGUGUGUGUGUGUGUGUGUCUCUCUCUCUCUCUUUCCCUCUCUUUCUCUCCAUAGGGCGCUUGGUUGGGCUGCUCGCUCGGGUUCUGCCUGUUGUUGCGCGAAAUGGCGGCUGCUAUCUUGCAAUCAUCUGAAAGGACUCACCCUUUAGUGCCAAUCUCCUGAAUGUUCAGCAGUCCCAGAAUUUAUGGCACAUAACAUAGGAUUAGAUAGCAGCAAUGUUCUAUUUUUUUUUUUCCCCCAUGUGUGGAAUAAAUUAUGUGCACCAAGGAGUACAAGCCAAGAUCAUGGGUUUUGUUUCUGGACCGAUGUCAAUGAACAUACAAGAACAGCUCUAGGAUCAUGGUGCCCAGUCCAGCUCCCAUUGAACUCAAAGGGAAUUUGGACUUGAUUAGUUAAAUGUGCACCUUCUGCAACAGCUGAAGCACAGCAUUGCUUACUUUACAUUCUAAGAUAAGUUAUUUUCAUUUGGUCAGUAGAUUGGGAGGUUUGUGUGUGUGUGUGUGUGUGUGUGUGUGUGUUUUAAUUUAGAAUUUGGAGGAAACUUACACAAACUCAAUUCUUGGCAGAUUGUACAGGCCAGCAGUAAUUGCUAAUAUAUCGGGAAUCAUUGUCAUAUUUUUAAGCAGGUUUCGCAUUCAGGGAGUCUCAUCUCCUCCCACUUAUGUUUGUAUAAAUCAACAGUAAGUGAGAGGAGAAUGAGACCUUCUAACUGAGAUUUCAGAACAUUCAAUAAAAUUAUCUUCUAUGAUUAUUUCAUGCCGUUUGAUGCUGAAGCUUGUUUUGAAGGGUACUGAUUCCAAAAUUAAUUUCAUAUGAAAAGCUAUUUAAAACUUCACCCUGAAUUCAUAAUUAAUUAUAUUUGCUUCCUAAUAUAUCUUUUCACCAUACUCCACCCCUAUCAGAGCUUAAAAAGUUUAGAUACUUGCUGUAUCAGCAAAAAGAAAAGGAGUACUUGAGGCACCUUAGAGACUAACAAAUUUAUUUGAGCAUAAGCUUUUGUGAGCUACAACUCACUUCAUCGGAUGCAUUCAGUGGGUUUCCUACAUUUAAUGUAGUUUAAUUUUGUUUUGUUUUUUAAUGUUCAGCAUCCUUUGGGAUUUAAAUGUCUGAUUGUUACGCUGAAGUUGAAGGGGAAAUAAUGACUUGCAUUUUUACAAGAUAAAUGUAAUUACUGCAUUUUGUAAUCAUUAGGUAGGACAUGAUAUUAAAUUAAUAGAUUGAGAGUCUGUUGCAGUUAAUAACAGCAACGGUUGAAUGCAUGUUAUUACCUAAUUUUUAUUUGUUUUGUUUUUGAUUUACAGAUGAUGCAUUAUAAAAAAAAAAAAAAAAUCCUACAGUAAAGAAACUUUUUUUCUUUCAGAAAA